AAAUUGAAGAGUUUGAUCAUGGCUCAGAUUGAACGCUGGCGGCAGGCCUAACACAUGCAAGUCGAACGGUAACAGGAAGCAGCUUGCUGCUUUGCUGACGAGUGGCGGACGGGUGAGUAAUGUCUGGGAAACUGCCUGAUGGAGGGGGAUAACUACUGGAAACGGUGGCUAAUACCGCAUAACGUCGCAAGACCAAAGAGGGGGACCUUCGGGCCUCUUGCCAUCAGAUGUGCCCAGAUGGGAUUAGCUUGUUGGUGAGGUAACGGCUCACCAAGGCGACGAUCCCUAGCUGGUCUGAGAGGAUGACCAGCCACACUGGAACUGAGACACGGUCCAGACUCCUACGGGAGGCAGCAGUGGGGAAUAUUGCACAAUGGGCGCAAGCCUGAUGCAGCCAUGCCGCGUGUAUGAAGAAGGCCUUCGGGUUGUAAAGUACUUUCAGCGGGGAGGAAGGUGUUGUGGUUAAUAACCACAGCAAUUGACGUUACCCGCAGAAGAAGCACCGGCUAACUCCGUGCCAGCAGCCGCGGUAAUACGGAGGGUGCAAGCGUUAAUCGGAAUUACUGGGCGUAAAGCGCACGCAGGCGGUCUGUCAAGUCGGAUGUGAAAUCCCCGGGCUCAACCUGGGAACUGCAUUCGAAACUGGCAGGCUUGAGUCUUGUAGAGGGGGGUAGAAUUCCAGGUGUAGCGGUGAAAUGCGUAGAGAUCUGGAGGAAUACCGGUGGCGAAGGCGGCCCCCUGGACAAAGACUGACGCUCAGGUGCGAAAGCGUGGGGAGCAAACAGGAUUAGAUACCCUGGUAGUCCACGCCGUAAACGAUGUCUACUUGGAGGUUGUGCCCUUGAGGCGUGGCUUCCGGAGCUAACGCGUUAAGUAGACCGCCUGGGGAGUACGGCCGCAAGGUUAAAACUCAAAUGAAUUGACGGGGGCCCGCACAAGCGGUGGAGCAUGUGGUUUAAUUCGAUGCAACGCGAAGAACCUUACCUGGUCUUGACAUCCACAGAACUUUCCAGAGAUGGACUGGUGCCUUCGGGAACUGUGAGACAGGUGCUGCAUGGCUGUCGUCAGCUCGUGUUGUGAAAUGUUGGGUUAAGUCCCGCAACGAGCGCAACCCUUAUCCUUUGUUGCCAGCGGUUAGGCCGGGAACUCAAAGGAGACUGCCAGUGAUAAACUGGAGGAAGGUGGGGAUGACGUCAAGUCAUCAUGGCCCUUACGACCAGGGCUACACACGUGCUACAAUGGCGCAUACAAAGAGAAGCGACCUCGCGAGAGCAAGCGGACCUCAUAAAGUGCGUCGUAGUCCGGAUUGGAGUCUGCAACUCGACUCCAUGAAGUCGGAAUCGCUAGUAAUCGUGGAUCAGAAUGCCACGGUGAAUACGUUCCCGGGCCUUGUACACACCGCCCGUCACACCAUGGGAGUGGGUUGCAAAAGAAGUAGGUAGCUUAACCUUCGGGAGGGCGCUUACCACUUUGUGAUUCAUGACUGGGGUGAAGUCGUAACAAGGUAACCGUAGGGGAACCUGCGGUUGGAUCACCUCCUUACCUGAAAGAAGC
rnacentral:rRNA from 1 species